UACAGUGAUCCGGUUAUGAUGGA
rnacentral:miRNA from 1 species